GAGGUAGUGACAAGAAAUAACAAUACGGGGCUUAAUGUCUUGUAAUUGGAAUGAUGGGAAUUUAAACCUCUUCCAGAGUAUCAAUUGGAGGGCAAGUCUGGUGCCAGCAGCCGCGGUAAUUCCAGCUCCAAUAGCGUAUAUUAAAAUUGUUGCAGUUAAAAAGCUCGUAGUUGAAUUUCUGCUGCAUUUCAUUUCUCUUUCUGAGUUUGUUUUUGCGGCUUAUUUCGGUUUGAUUUUUUCUUUCCGGAUGAUUACUUUGAGAAAAUUAGAGUGCUCAAAGCAGGCUUUUGCCUUGAAUAGUUUAGCAUGGAAUAAUAAAGUAGGACUUUGGUUCUAUUUUGUUGGUUUUAGGUACCAAAGUAAUGGUUAAUAGGAACAGUUGGGGGCAUUCGUAUUUAACUGUCAGAG
rnacentral:rRNA from 1 species